UACAGAGGGUGCAAGCGUUAAUCGGAAUUACUGGGCGUAAAGCGAGCGUAGUCGGUUAUUUAAGUCGGAUGUGAAAUCCCCGGGCUCAACCUGGGAAUUGCAUUCGAUACUGGAUAGCUAGAGUUCGGCAGAGGGAAGCGGAAUUUCUGGUGUAGCGGUGAAAUGCGUAGAUAUCAGAAGGAACAUCAGUGGCGAAAGCGGCUUCCUGGGCCAGAACUGACGAUCAGGCUCGAAAGCGUGGGGAGCAAACAGG
rnacentral:rRNA from 1 species